AAAGAAGAAAAACAUAAUUAAAAUUCUCAAGUUAAUUUAUGGUAUGCUCAUCCUUAUUUCCCUAUUUUUUCUUGCAAGGGUUGUAAACUUCGGAAUAAUUGCAUUUUGUAAGAAUGAUGAAGAAUGUUUAAUCAUUUGUCCUCUAUCUCUAAUAUACCUUUGUAGUAAUAAUCGAUGCACAUGUUUGAAGCGUUCCAACUUUGCAGACUUGCCACCACAUGUGUAUAAACAUCUACAUCGAUAAAUAAAUGCAGUAACAACGGACAUUUUAAGACUAAGGAGUAUUCGAAUUGUUCGCCAGUCAAGUCAUAGUCGGAUCAUGUCAAGAGUAUGAUUUAUGGGUUGAAGUUCAUUUCUGAAUUGUAAAAAGUUUUAUUUGAUUAAUUAUGAACCCUUUUAACUU